UAUAAUUGUUUCGACAUUUGUCUAAUUUUACUUCAUUUUUUUCAUCUUUGCAGCCCUAAAUAAGUGAUAUGUUGCUUGAUUGUGAGUUACAGGAGCAGACAGAAAAUACAGUUGAUGGAGCGGGUUGGAUUUUCUUUAUUGCAAAUUUAAUUUCCGAAUAGGAUGGUACAGUGGUGGAACGCCUCUUGUGUUCAAGAUUUCAAGAACCUUCAUUAUAUGGGUCUGUUAGUUCAUCGUCCACAUGGCCUUAGGGUUUUGUAGGGGAAAUUGCAAUGGUGGUGCCUACUUAGCUCACAACUUAGGUUGUUAAUGAGCUCAGAGAAGGUGUCAAUUUGCUUCUUGGCUGAUGGAGUACACUUCAGAUGGCUAUUUAGAACGAAUGAGGAAUGAGGUGGACAUGACACCCACGACACCAUACGAUACCAUACAAAUAAAUAAACUCCAUUGAUAUGUAUUGGGUUUUAGCCCUAAAUAUUACAAUAUAUUUUAGUUUUAUAUUAAAUAAAUCAUAUUUUCCUUUAAAUAAUAGUACUAACCG